AGAACGAACGCUGGCGGCAUGCCUAAUACAUGCAAGUCGAACGAAGGCUUCGGCCUUAGUGGCGCACGGGUGCGUAACGCGUGGGAAUCUGCCCCUUGGUUCGGAAUAACAGUUGGAAACGACUGCUAAUACCGGAUGAUGACGAAAGUCCAAAGAUUUAUCGCCAAGGGAUGAGCCCGCGUAGGAUUAGCUAGUUGGUGAGGUAAAGGCUCACCAAGGCGACGAUCCUUAGCUGGUCUGAGAGGAUGAUCAGCCACACUGGGACUGAGACACGGCCCAGACUCCUACGGGAGGCAGCAGUAGGGAAUAUUGGACAAUGGGCGAAAGCCUGAUCCAGCAAUGCCGCGUGAGUGAUGAAGGCCUUAGGGUUGUAAAGCUCUUUUACCCGAGAUGAUAAUGACAGUAUCGGAGAAUAAGACCCCGGCUAACGUCCGCGCCAGCAGCCGC
rnacentral:rRNA from 1 species